AACGCUACUAGUAUGCUCAACACAUGCAAGUCGAACGAAAAUUUAUUUUCGUGGCGUACGGGUGAGUAAACGCAGAAUUUUCCCUUUUAGUUCAGGACAAAUGCCAGCUUUAGUUGGUAAAAUACUGAAUAGAUUAUAAAGGUUCACUCCGCUAAAAGAUAAAUCUGCUUAAGAUUAGGUUGUUGGUAAUUUAAAAGCUUACCAAGCCUACGAUCUUUAGUUGGUCUGAGAGGAUGAUCAACCACACUGGAACUGAAAUAAGGUCCAGGCUAAUACGUUGGCCAGCAGUGAGGAAUAUUGGACAAUGAACGCAAGUUUGAUCCAGCAAUACUAACUGGGUGAUGACGGCUUAUUUAAGUUGUAAGAUCCUUUAAUUAAAGAAGAUAAUGACAUUAUUUAAUUGAAUUAGUCCUGGCUAAUACUCGUGCCAGCAGCCGCGGUAAGGCGAAGGGGGCAAGUGUUAUUCGGAAUGAUUGGGCGUAAAGGGUACGUAGGCGGUAGUUGCGAUCGUUUCCAAAAGGCACUCCGAAAAGGGUGUAUCGAAACGCAAUCCAGCUACUAAGAGGGAAGGAGAGGAGAACGGAAUUUCAGGUGGAGCGAUAAUAUGCUUAGAGAUCUGAAGGAACACCCGAGGCGAAGGCGGUUCUCUGGCCUUCAACCUAACGCUGAGGUACGAAAGCAUGGGGAGCAAAUGGGAUUAGAGACCCCAGUAGUCCAUGCCGUCAACGAUGAGAGAUCCGAGGGUCCCUUCUUAGAGGAAGAAGGCGGAGCCUUGGCAGCUAACGCGUAAUCUCUCCGCCUGGGGAGUACGACCGCAAGGUUGAAACUCAAAGGAAUUGACGGGGGCUCGUACAAGCGGUGGAGCAUGUGGUUUAAUUCGACACAACGCGCAAAACCUUACCAAUCCUUGACAUCUUUUGAUCAACUUCGAACGAGAGUUCGAAGGAGACUCCCUUUCGAAAGUAAGGGAGUUACGAAAGACAGGUGUUGCAUGGCUGUCGUCAGCUCGUGUCGUGAGAUGUUUGGUUAAGUCCUUCAACGAGCGCAACCCUUGUUUCUCAUUGCCAACGUUCCCUACCUCUGGUAGGGAAUCUGGAACUUGAGAAAGACAGCCCACGAAAAGUGGGAGGAAGGAGAGGAUGACGUCAAGUCUUCAUGGCCCUUAUGGAUUGGGCUACACACGUGCUACAAUGGUAAUGACAGAAGGAUGCGAAAGGGUGACCUGGAGCAAAUCCAAAAACAUUGCCCAAGUUCGGAUUGUUCUCUGCAACUCGAGAACAUGAAGUUGGAAUCGCGAGUAAUCGCAGAUCAGAACGCUGCGGUGAAUUUGUACCCGAGCCUUGCACAUACCGCCCGUCACACUCCGGGAGAAUUUAGAAUCUGAAGAUUGAACAGACCAAAGGUACUUUUCUUUCCCUCCACAGGAUAGAGAAAAGGUCCCUUGGAUGACUGUUUGCGGUCGAAGGUUUUGACGUUAACUGGAGUGAAGUCGUAACA
rnacentral:rRNA from 1 species